UGGUCUAGAGGUAUGAUUCUCACUUUGGAUGUGAGUGGUCCCAGGUUCAAAUCCCGG
rnacentral:tRNA from 1 species